GUCCCUGUAGUGUAGUGGUUAUCACGUUUGCUUUACACGCAAAAGGUCUCUGGUUCGAAACCAGGCAGAAACA
rnacentral:tRNA from 1 species